GUGUCCAGGACCUUUCUCAGCCUCUCCUGAUGGGCGUGAGGACCACAAGUGCACUUCAGGCUACCGGAAACCCAUCCCCGAAGCAGACUGACUUGUCCCUCCAGGACAUGGGACACAUGGUGGCCCGUCACUCCCAGCUUGGGCCCGACAUUGCCUUGAGACCCCAGAAAGGCAAGAGGCCACAGACAGCAGGACUGGCCCUCGGAGUUCCCAGUCCAGAGGAGGAGGAUCCCAGGGUAAAGUGCAGGGACUGUGGGGCCUUUGGACACAAGGCAUCAAGCACCAG
rnacentral:lncRNA from 12 species